rnacentral:rRNA from 1 species
UUCCUACGGGAGGCAGCAGUGGGGAAUAUUGCACAAUGGGGGAAACCCUGAUGCAGCGACGCCGCGUGAAGGAUGAAGUAUUUCGGUAUGUAAACUUCUAUCAGCAGGGAAGAAAAUGACGGUACCUGGCUAAGAAGCCCCGGCUAACUACGUGCCAGCAGCCGCGGUAAUACGUAGGGGGCAAGCGUUAUCCGGAUUUACUGGGUGUAAAGGGAGCGUAGACGGUAUGGCAAGUCUGAUGUGAAAACCCGGGGCUUAACCCCGGGACUGCAUUGGAAACUGCCGAACUAGAGUGUCGGAGAGGC